AGUGCAGGCUGGUUUGUCGCUGUUCUUGGUGAUUCAUCAAGAAAAGAGGAAAGUCCGGGCAACAUAGAGCACCAUACUUCCUAACGGGAAGGUGUACUGGUAGCAAUACCAGUAUAACAGACAGUACCACAGAAAAGAAACCGCCACAGUUGGUUCUUCCAAUUGGGGUAAGGGUGAAAUGGCGGGGUAAGAGCCCACCGGAUACCGGGUGAUCGGUAUUGCAAGGCAAACCUUAUGGGUUGAAAGACCAAAUAGGCUUCGGUCAUUGGGCUGCUCGUCCAAAUCUAACAAGAUAACCGAAGUGGGUAGGUCGUUGGACCUUUUCUGUGAAGAAAAGGCUAGAUAAAUGGCAAACGCUUUGUAAAAAGUUACAGAACCCGGCUUAUAGGCCUGCACUUUUA
rnacentral:RNase_P_RNA from 1 species